GGCGUAGUGGUCACUGCGCUCGCCUUGCACGCGGGAGGCCCGGGUUCGAUUCCCGG
rnacentral:tRNA from 1 species